AUUGAACGCUGGCGGCAGGCUUAACACAUGCAAGUCGAACGAUGAUUAUCUAGCUUGCUAGAUAUGAUUAGUGGCGGACGGGUGAGUAACAUUUAGGAAUCUGCCUAGUAGUGGGGGAUAGCUCGGGGAAACUCGAAUUAAUACCGCAUACGACCUACGGGUGAAAGGGGGCGCAAGCUCUUGCUAUUAGAUGAGCCUAAAUCAGAUUAGCUAGUUGGUGGGGGAAAGGCCCACCAAGGCAACGAUCUGUAACUGGUCUGAGAGGAUGAUCAGUCACACCGGAACUGAGACACGGUCCGGACUCCUACGGGAGGCAGCAGUGGGGAAUAUUGGACAAUGGGGGCAACCCUGAUCCAGCCAUGCCGCGCGUGUGAAGAAGGCCUUUUGGUUGUAAAGCACUUUAAGCAGGGAGGAGAGGCUAAUGGUUAAUACCCAUUAGAUUAGACGUUACCUGCAGAAUAAGCACCGGCUAACUCUGUGCCAGCAGCCGCGGUAAUACAGAGGGUGCGAGCGUUAAUCGGAAUUACUGGGCGUAAAGCGAGUGUAGGUGGCUCAUUAAGUCACAUGUGAAAUCCCCGGGCUUAACCUGGGAACUGCAUGUGAUACUGGUGGUGCUAGAAUAUGUGAGGGGGAAGUAGAAUUCCAGGUGUAGCGGUGAAAUGCGUAGAGAUCUGGAGGAAUACCGAUGGCGAAGGCAGCUUCCUGGCAUAAUAUUGACACUGAGAUUCGAAAGCGUGGGUAGCAAACAGGAUUAGAUACCCUGGUAGUCCACGCCGUAAACGAUGUCUACUAGCCGUUGGGGUCCUUGAGACUUUAGUGGCGCAGUUAACGCGAUAAGUAGACCGCCUGGGGAGUACGGCCGCAAGGUUAAAACUCAAAUGAAUUGACGGGGGCCCGCACAAGCGGUGGAGCAUGUGGUUUAAUUCGAUGCAACGCGAAGAACCUUACCUGGUCUUGACAUAGUGAGAAUCCUGCAGAGAUGCGGGAGUGCCUUCGGGAAUCCACAUACAGGUGCUGCAUGGCUGUCGUCAGCUCGUGUCGUGAGAUGUUGGGUUAAGUCCCGCAACGAGCGCAACCCUUUUCCUUAUUUGCCAGCGGGUUAAGCCGGGAACUUUAAGGAUACUGCCAGUGACAAACUGGAGGAAGGCGGGGACGACGUCAAGUCAUCAUGGCCCUUACGACCAGGGCUACACACGUGCUACAAUGGUAGGUACAGAGGGUUGCUACACAGCGAUGUGAUGCUAAUCUCAAAAAGCCUAUCGUAGUCCGGAUUGGAGUCUGCAACUCGACUCCAUGAAGUCGGAAUCGCUAGUAAUCGCAGAUCAGAAUGCUGCGGUGAAUACGUUCCCGGGCCU
rnacentral:rRNA from 1 species